CCUCCCCAAUCUGGGGGCAGAUGUAGUGCACGUGUGUGUCCAAUCCGCCCGCAGUCAAUAUCUUGCCCUCGCCAGCAAUCACCUCCGUGUUGGACCCAACGACCAUGUCGCGGUCGACGCCGUCCUGGAUGUCCGGGUUGCCCGCCUUGCCAAUAGCGUGAAUGUAGCCGUUCUUGAUACCAAUGUCUGCCUUGUAAAUCCCGCUCCAGUCAAUCACCACUGCGUUGGUGAUGACUGCGUCCAACACCUCGGCGUUGGAGCGGUUCGACGCCUGUCCCAUUCCGUCACGGAUG
rnacentral:sRNA from 1 species